GAACGAAUAAGUGGUUUAUCCACAUAAAGUUCUAGAUAGAAUAAAGAUGAUGACUAAUUUCUAUCUACUAGUCUUGACUAAAUCACGUGCCAGCUGUCGCGGUAAUACGGGAAAGACGAGUGUUAUUCAUCUUUAAUAGGUUUAAAGGGUACCUAGACGGGUUUUAUACACUCUAAUCCUAAUUUGCAAUUAAUUAGGGUAUAUGAUAAUUUUCCAAUAUAAAAUUAUUAUGUAUGGGUAAAAAAAUCUAGAGUUUUAUGUGAGAGGAUUUUGUUAGUACUAAUAGAGUAGAGAUGAAAUUUUUUGAUACUAUUGGGCACUGGUAUUGGCGAAGGCAACCCUUUAUGUAAAAACUGACGUUGAGGGACGAAGGCUUGGGUAGCAAACAGGAUUAGAUACCCUAAUAGUCCAGGCAGAAAAAAAUGAGUGUCAUAGGUUACAUUGAAAGUGAUCUAUAAAUGAAAGUGUAAGCACUCCACCUCAAGAGUAAUACGGCAACGUAGGAACUGAAAUCAUUAGACCGUUUCUGAAACCAGUAGUGAAGUAUGUUGUUUAAUUCGAUGAUCCACGAAAAACCUUACCACGACUUGAAUAUUUUAGCAAAAUCAUUCGUUUGUUUUUGCUAUUCAUACAGGUGCUGCACGGCUGUCUUUAGUUAAUGUCGUGAGAUGCAGGUUAGCUCCAAUAAAUUAACGUAAACCCUCACUUUAUUUAAUUACAAUGAAGUAGUUCUCCGGUAUAUCGGAUAAGUUAAC
rnacentral:rRNA from 1 species